rnacentral:rRNA from 1 species
AUUUUGACUAUACAAAGGUAUUGAAAUAAGAUUUUAAUUGAAUGCUAAGAGAAUGGAAUUUCAGAAAAAAGCUUUCUUUAAAUUAAAAAUUGAAUUUUUCUUAAUUUGUGCAGAGACAAUUAUUAAUAUUAAGGACAAGAAGACCCUAUGAAUUUUAAUGGGAAUCUACUAUUAAUAUAAAUUUUGGCUGGGGCGGCAAGAAAAUAUCAAAAACUUUUCAGAUAAUAAAAUGAUCCAUUAGUAAUGAUUACAUGUUAAAUACUCUAGGGAUAACAGCGUUAUAUUUUUUGAUAGAUCAUAUUGACAAAAAAGUUUGCGACCUCGAUGUUGGAUUAGGAUACUUUUUUAAUGCAGAUAUUAAAAAAAGAAGUUUGUUCAAC